rnacentral:rRNA from 1 species
AUUGAACGCUGGCGGCAUGCCUUACACAUGCGAGUCGAACGGCAGCACGGGUGCUUGCACCUGGUGGCGAGUGGCGAACGGGUGAGUAAUACAUCGGAACGUACCUUAUCGUGGGGGAUAACGCAGCGAAAGCUGUGCUAAUACCGCAUACGCCCUGAGGGGGAAAGCGGGGGAUCGAAAGACCUCGCGCGAUUAGAGCGGCCGAUGCCUGAUUAGCUUGUUGGUGGGGUAAAAGCCCACCAAGGCGACGAUCAGUAGCUGGUCUGAGGGGACGAUCAGCCACACUGGGACUGAGACACGGCCCAGACUCCUACGGGAGGCAGCAGUGGGGAAUUUUGGACAAUGGGGGCAACCCUGAUCCAGCAAUGCCGCGUGAGUGAAGAAGGCCUUCGGGUUGUAAAGCUCUUUUGUCAGGGAAGAAACACCGGCUCUAACACAGUCCGGGAAUGACGGUACCUGAAGAAUAAGCACCGGCUAACUACGUGCCAGCAGCCGCGGUAA